GAGCUGUAUGAAAGGAGCGAAAGUUAGUCCUCCCUUUGACAAGGAUGGAAAAAGGUCCUACAACUGGUAUGCCACACACAUACGAUAUAUAAAAUGGGUAUAUAAUGAACUAGACAGGUUUAU